rnacentral:lncRNA from 10 species
CAUAUGAUAGAAUUUCACAAAAUACUUACGUACUUUAAAUAGUUCAUACAAAGAAAUCGGAACUUUUCCUCAAUAGGAUGAAUAUUGAUUCAUUCGUGACUACUUCAGACUUGGUGAAACAAACAAAAACUUAAAAAAAAUUUGUGGCAUCACCACUUUAAAUAGCUGUUUUAUCUGAAAAAAAAAAGAAUAAAAUUUCAGUAAAAGAAUUUUCAUGAAUAGCCAAUAGAUAGUUUGAAACAUGGUACAUCAAGUCAUUGAAUUGUUGUAUCUAAGGUAAAAUAAUCUCACCACUUCUUUUUGGCAUGUGUGUUUAUCUAAAUAUAACCAUGUGUAGGAGUAUAAAGGAUGCAGUUUAUUUUGUAUCUCCAACUCUAAUGUCCAAAUGAAUGAGUUAUGUGAUAUUGACAGAUUUAGUGAUUAUCUGGUUUUUCAACCUUAAUAAAAGCUUAUUUCAGUAUCUUAUAGCUACACGUAGCCUUUACCAUUCAAUAUGUUUUUGACUUCUCUUCAAUAUGUGUACAAUAUACCUUAUUAAGAAUUACAUAUGCACUGGGGACAGUGGCUCACACCUAUAAUCCCAGCACUUUGGGAGGCUGAGAUGGGAUCGACCUGAGAUCACUUGAGCCCAGGAGUUCGAGACCAGCCUGGGCAACAUAGGGGAGACCUUGUCUCUACAAAUAAUAAAAACAAAUUAGCCAGGUGUGGUGGUACAUGCCUGUGGUGUUAGCUACUCUGGAAGCUGAAGCUAGAGGAUCGCCAGAGCCUAGAAGGUUGAGGCUGUAGUGAGCCAUGAUGGUGCCACCUCACUCUAGUCUGAGUGACAGAGUGAGACCCUGUCUUAAAAAAAAACAAAAAAAACAUAAGAAAUCACUGUCUGUGCUUUCCAAUGUGGUAGCUAUGGGCACCAUGUGGCUACUGAGCACUUAAAAUCUGGGUAGUCCAAACUGAGAUUUGCUGUAAUUAUAGUACAAAAAAGAAUGUAAAUUUCUCAAAGCAAUUUUUUAAUACUACAUGUUGAAAUGGUCAUAUUUGAGAAAUAUAAUAUUACUCAUUAUUUCUUGUUUGAUGAGCUUAUGAGAAAAUUAAAAAUUGUAUAAGCAAUUUGAGCAAUGUAUCUUUUGGAUAGUGCUGAUCUAUAUGAUUAAACAUAUCACCGGGACUACCUCAUUCUGCCACCAACCUUUUCUUUACUUGUUUGCAAAGGUUAUUCAUAUUGUCUGCCUCCCUCAUUCUUUGUCAUUUCCCCUGAGAGCAGAUAGAGUUUUUAAUUUACCUUUACAUCCUACACAGCACCUGGCACUGUGUUGGUACUUAAUAAGUGUUGAAUAAAGUACUCAUUUUCAAUACUUGUUUGCUCUCCAUAUAUUCUUUAGCUGAUUUUCUAAUUCAGUAUUUCUGGCCAGAUGCGUUAGCUUACACCUGUAACCCCAGCACUUUGGAAGGCCAAGGUGGGAGGAUUGCUUGAGCUCAGGAGUUUGAGAGACCAGUCUGGGCAACAUAGUGAGAUCUCAUCUAAAAAAAAAAAAAAAAAAGGAAACCUAAUUUAGUAUCUCCUUUCAUUGAUUCAUUUCAUUUCAUUGAAUGAAAGACCUAAUAUAUCCACUGUUUUGUUCCAGUAUAUUUUAGGAAGAUGAGUAUAUUAGGGAGCUUACAGUCUAGAAAGGGAGACACACAUAGAUGAGAAGGCUGUGAACUGUAGAAACCACAUCUGUGUAACUAUUCUCUAUUCUUCUAUAAUGUGGUUGGACAUAGUUGCUAAUGUAAUGUUGUUGAACACAUUAUAGAAGAAUAAUUACAUAGUUGUGGUUGGUAAUUAACUUGGUGGUGAUAUUGAAAAACACAUGAAACAGAAAGAUUAUCUUAUAAUUUCAUUUAUGCUGUUUGUAGAAACAAUCUAAAAGUAUGUUGGCAAGUUUGUUUAAAGCACAGAUAGAGGUUAUUAAUUAUGUAGACCAAUGAAAGUAAAAUUAUGACUUUAUUUUAUGACUGUUGAAGCCAAAAUACAAAUUUAAAAAGCCCUGAGAGAGCUAGUAUACGGUAUUCAUGUAAAAAGUUUCCAUUUUUUAAGCUAAGUUACCUAAUUUCCUGUGACUCCUAAAUUAGAUUCUCAGGAAGAUAGGAGCCUGUGGUCUACCAGCUGUGAUCCUGAUUGUAAUUAAUAUCAUAGAAUAUGUAAUUAAUAACAGAUUGUAAUUAAUAACAUAGAAGUAUGUUAUUUAAAUUUCUUGUUUUCCUGCCAUGGGAUUGAAUUUACUGUUAAUUUUCUUUCUUUGACGGUGAAUUUUCUCAGAAUCUUUCCUGAAUGUCAAGAUUUCUAAAUUUCAAAGUUGUAUUAUUUCUGUAAUGUAUUAGUUUUAUAAUCUGAUACAAACUUUAUUAAACCAUUAUGUAUUAAUUACAAGU